UACGGAGGGUGCGAGCGUUGUUCGGAAUCACUGGGCGUAAAGCGCGUGUAGGCGGCCCGCUAAGUCUGAUGUGAAAGCCCGAGGCUCACCCUCGGAAGUGCAUUGGAAACUGGCGGACUGGAGUCCCGGAGAGGAGGGUGGAAUUCCUGGUGUAGCGGUGAAAUGCGUAGAUAUCAGGAGGAACACCAGCGGCGAAGGCGGCGCUCUGGGCCGGUACUGACACUGAGGAGCGAAAGCGUGGGGAUCAAACAGG
rnacentral:rRNA from 1 species